AAAUUAUAGUAAAUAGACAUUUGAGAAAGUUAUAUGAAUGAAAAAAUGUACAUUUUAAAAUGAAAUUGCAUAAAGGACCCUUUGACUGAUGCCUCUCAGUUUAUAUUUUUAUUUGACUCUAUGUUUCUUUUGAUACUGUUGACAUUUUAGGAAAUUUUGGUAAGAUUUAAUCAAAACCUUUACUCUUGAUGGUUACAGUUCCUGCAUUUAUAAAAUCAAACCUGUGAUCACAGAAAUCUUGGAAUACGAUUAAUAUGCUUCUGUUUUGUGUGUGUUACUGUGAUUCUAAUUAUCUUCUGAAGCUUACAAAUGUUACUGUUUGUUCAAAUCAUGAUUUGUUUCACAUUUGUUGGAGUUCACCAUAUUAGUGACUAAGUAAUAAAGCCUCU
rnacentral:lncRNA from 1 species